AUGAAAAAGCAACUAUUUGAGAAGACCAUUCUUGGAAAGGUUAAGGCAUAUACAUAUGUCGUAGAGUUCCAAAAGUGGGGAUUACCCCAUGCUCACUUUUUGCUCACCAUGACCGGAAAAUACAAGUACACAGGUCCGGAACAAUAUGACAGAAUCAUCUCUGCCGAGCUCCCUAACAAGCACAAUUGGAAACUCGACAAUAGGUGGGUGGUUCCUUACAAUCCCUAUCUAUUAAGGAUGCUCAACUGCCACAUAAAUGUUGAGAUAUGUUCAAGCAUUAAAGCCGUUAAGUACCUGUUCAAGUUCAUGUACAAGGGUCAUGAUCGAGCAUUUGUAACUGACAAAGUAGACGAAGUGGAAAUUGACGAGAUUCGACAAUACAGAGACACACGGUGGGUGACACCUACAGAAGCAUUGUGGAGAAUAUAU
rnacentral:rRNA from 1 species